CCUGGCAUGACUGCUUCUAACAGCGACCAUUUCAUUAAGUUUUUAAGUGCCUGGUAAUUGCUUGGUUAUGACCGGUGUCUGCUCCAUGGCAGCCUCUUCCUGAAGAAAUGCUGAGGCAGUGUCACGCUGGUGUCUGUCCUCCUUACAGAAUGCCUGAACAGUUCCAUUGACUCAAAGUGAAGAUCAAAAGAACCAAAUGACAGCAAUAGCCAAGUGUAAUCAUCAGUAACCCUGUGUUCUAUCCACAGGCUGGAAUGCAGUGCCAUCAUCAUAGCUACUGCAGCCUUGAACUCCUGGGCAGAAGCAAUUUUCCCACCUCAGCCUGCCAAGUAGCUAGGACUACAGGUGUGUGCCACCAUGCCCAGCUGUUUUUUAAAAUUUUUUGUGGAGAUGUGAACUCACUAAGCUUCCGAGGCUUUUCUUGAACUCCUGACUUCAAGUAAUCCUCCCACCUUGGCUUGUCAAAGUCCUGGGAUUACAGGUGUGAGCUCCUGCUCCUGGUCAAGAAUUUAGUUUUGUUUGCUAGUGGUGUUCUUGGUAUCUUUUCAUAUUUGAGGCUUUGGUGCUAGUGCUGAAGUAUUACACUCACCAUCCAAGGUUCACAGGAC
rnacentral:lncRNA from 1 species